UACGGGGGGGGCAAGCGUUGUUCGGAAUUACUGGGCGUAAAGAGCUCGUAGGCGGCUUGUCGCGUCGUCUGUGAAAUCCCACGGCUCAACUGUGGGCUUGCAGUCGAUACGGGCAGGCUGGAGUUCGGUAGGGGAGACUGGAAUUCCUGGUGUAGCGGUGAAAUGCGCAGAUAUCAGGAGGAACACCGGUGGCGAAGGCGGGUCUCUGGGCCGAUACUGACGCUGAGGAGCGAAAGCGUGGGGAGCGAACAGG
rnacentral:rRNA from 1 species